rnacentral:tRNA from 1 species
GCCUGGGUGGCUCAGUCGGUUAAAGCACCUGACUUUGGCUCAGGUCAUGAUCUCACAGCUCAUGAGUUCGAGCCCCACAUCGGGCU